GAAAAUCCCUUGCCCUGGGAAAAGACAAAAAGGAGAUUCUUCAUCCCGAAUUUCUUCAGUAUUGAUGACCACCCACUGGUCAACAUUUUGACUUAAAGAGUAACCCCAAACAAGCCCCACUUGCGGGUGACUGCGAAGCCUGAGGACCCAACCAGCUGGAAUUCCGACAGGAAGAGCCUUGGUUUAUCUUGGAGCUGUGCUGGUUUCCACCUCCCGGGGAAUGUCUGCAAAGACUCAUGCAUCUGACGAUCGUUUUCUGGGAGUCUCCUGAGACAGGUGGUGCUUGGCCCAACGUUUCCAGAAUGCCUCGUCAAGGGGCAGACUGAGAAAGGGAAAUAAAAAUG